UACAGAGGGUGCGAGCGUUGUCCGGAAUCACUGGGCGUAAAGGGUGAGUAGGUGGCCUGUUAAGCGUGUGGUGAAAGCCUGGGGCUCAACCCCAGGUCUGCCGUGCGAACUGACAGGCUUGAGCAGAGUAGAGGCGAGUGGAAUUUCGGGUGUAGCGGUGGAAUGCGUAGAUAUCCGAAAGAACGCCGGUGGCGAAGGCGACUCGCUGGGCUCUUGCUGACACUGAAUCACGACAGCGUGGGGAGCAAACAGG
rnacentral:rRNA from 1 species